ACGAACGCUGGCGGCGUGCUUAACACAUGCCAGUCGCACGGAAAGGCCCUGCUUUUGUGGGGUGCUCGAGUGGCGAACGGGUGAGUAACACGUGAGUAACCUGCCCUUGACUUUGGGAUAACUUCAGGAAACUGGGGCUAAUACCGGAUAGGAGCUCCUGCUGCAUGGUGGGGGUUGGAAAGUUUCGGCGGUUGGGGAUGGACUCGCGGCUUAUCAGCUUGUUGGUGGGGUAGUGGCUUACCAAGGCUUUGGCGGGUAGCCGGCCUGAGAGGGUGACCGGCCACAUUGGGACUGAGAUACGGCCCAGACUCCUACGGGAGGCAGCAGUGGGGAAUAUUGCACAAUGGGCGGAAGCCUGAUGCAGCAACGCCGCGUGCGGGAUGACGGCCUUCGGGUUGUAAACCGCUUUCGCCUGUGACGAAGCGUGAGUGACGGUAAUGGGUAAAGAAGCACCGGCUAACUACGUG
rnacentral:rRNA from 1 species